CCUACGGGUGGCAGCAGUGGGGAAUAUUGGGCAAUGGACGCAAGUCUGACCCAGCAACGCCGCGUGAAGGAAGAAGGCUUUCGGGUUGUAAAGAUCCGUUGAUAGGGACGUAUAAGCAAUGCAAAUAGCUUUGUGUAUGACGGUAUCUGUUUAGAAAGCUUCGGCCAACUACGUGCCAGCAGCCGUGGUAAUACGUAGGGAGCAAGCGUUGUCCGGAAUUACUGGGCGUAAGGGGCGCGUAGGUGGGCGCUUAAGUCAGUUGUGAAAACUCCGGGCUCAACCUGGAGACUGCACUUGAGACUGGGUGUCUUGAGUGCAGGAGAGGAAGGUGGAAUUCCUAGUGUAGCGGUGAAAUGCGUAGAUAUUAGGAGGAACACCAGUGGCGAAGGCGACUUUCUGGACUGUACCUGACGCUGAGGCGCGAAAGCGUGGGUAGCGAACGGGAUUAGAUACCCCGGUAGUC
rnacentral:rRNA from 1 species